CUUUUUAGGGCCACACUUGUGGCAUAUGGAGAUUCCCAGGCUAGGGGUCGAAUUGGAGCGGUGGCUUCCAGCUUAUGCCACAGCCACAGCAAAGCCAGAUUAAGCCAUGUCUGGGACCUAUAUCACAGCUCAUGGCAACGUGGGAUCCUUAAUCCACUGAGCAAGGCCAGGGAUCGAACCUGAGUCCUCGUGGAUGCCAGUCAGAGUCUUAAUUUGCUAAGCCUCAACAGGAACACCUAUUUUUUUAAUUUUUUAAGGAAAUUCCAUACUGUUUUCCAGAGUGACUGCACUAAUUUACAUUCCCAACAACAGUGUACAAGUGUUCUGUUUUCUCCACAUCCUCUGUAGCAUUUAUUAUUUGUAGAUUUUUUUGAUAAUAGCCAUUCUGACAUGUGUGAGGUUAUAUUCAUUAUGGUUUUGAUUUGCCUUUCUGUAAUAAUUAGUAAUGUUGAGCAUCUUUGCAUGUAUCUAUUAGACAUCUGUAUGUCUUCUUUGGAAAAAUGUCUAUUUAGGUUUUCUGCACAUUAUUUGAUUGAGUUGUUGGGUUUUUAUAUUCAGUUGUUUGAGCUGUUUGCAUAUUUUGGCUAUUAAUUCUUUAUCAGUCAAUCCUUUGCAAAUAUAUUUUCUCAUUCCAUAUGUUAUCUUUUUGUUUAGGUUAGGACUAUGUGGUUUUGAUGCUAUAUCUACAAAACGUUGAAGCCUCUGUCAUUCUGGUUUUCUGAGUGGCUAGAAAGCAGAAGUUCCUGCUCAUCCAUGUAGGACAUUGGACAUGAGGGAAAACUAAAUCAUUGUUGCUGAGUCACUGAGAUUUUGUGGUUGUCGCUACUGCUAAAAAAAGAAAAAAAAAAAGCUAAAAACUAGGAAUUCCCAUUGUGGCUCAGCUGAAAUGAACAUGGCUAGAAUCCAUAAGGAUGCAGGUUCAAUCCCUGGCCCCACUCAGUGGGUUAAGGAUACAACAUUGCCGUUAGGUAUAGUGUAGAUCACAGAUGCAGCUUGGAUCUGGCAUUUCUAUGGCUGUGGCAUAUGCCAGCAGCUGUAGCUCUGAUUGGACCCCUAGCCUGAGAACUUCCAUAUGCUGCAGGUGUGGCCCUAAAAAGCAAAAUAAAUAAUUUUUAAAAACCUAGCCCAUCCUGACAAAAAUACCACAGAAAUAGAUACAUCCUUUUUUUUCUACAAUGUUAAGAAAAGUUACAAAAGUGAGUUCUUAUUCUUGUAUUAUGCAGCCAUCAUAUAAGAGGGAUAAUUUCUACAAUUAAGAGAAUAUGCCAUCCCCUGUAUAUUCAUUCAACAAGCAGUAACUAUAUACUCUAAGCCAGGGACUCUACAAGUCUCUGAACAGAUUCAUUUGUGAUUAAACAGAUACAGUUAUGUUCCUUGUGGAGCUUAUAAUCUAGUACUUAAUAAUAACUAGUUUUAGUUAUUAUAUGGUAGAUUAUAUUCUUAGUGUUUCAUACUUACUCACUUAUUUCAACCCUGUGAAGUGGAUACUAUUACAAUCCCCAUUUUAACAAUGAGUAAAUCAAGACUUAGAAAGUUUAAGUAACUUGAGAAAGAUCACACAGUUAAUAAGUAACAAGGCAAGCUUUGAAGCCAUAUAGAUACAUUAAUGCCAGAACUCAGGCUCUUAAUUACUAUAUUAUGCUCAAUGCAUGUGAGAAAUCUUCAAACUCUAAAGUACAGAAUAAGUUGUGAAUAUAAAAUAUUCAUUAUAUUUAUAUACUUAAGUACAUGUUGCUUUUAAUACAAUGUGAAAUUAAUAUUUUCACAAAACUCCCUAGGUGAUUUUGGCAUAUUCUACAAGACAAAGCAAAACAAAAAAAACUGAAACAGGUAAUCAGAAUUUAAGAAACAUUACAUUAGAUUAUAUAUGAAAAUUAUUCUACCAGUUCACAUCAAGGAGAACAUAAAAAUAAUUUCUAAAUGCUUGCUAUUAUAGUGAGAAUAAGUUUUUACUGACUCGUGUACAUUUUUUGAUACUCCGCCCCCACUUAGAAUUGAAGAGUGAUAGAGAAAGAGAGUUGGCAAAAUUAGAACUGUAGAUGAUUGAUAAGUGAUAACUGAUCUAACCCUCUAUAGAAAGCUUGAUGUGAUUAUCAAACAUCAAAUAAGGAUAAAAGGGAAGAAAGUCCUAUUAGACAAAUUUUAAUGGGACAUCAAUCAAUUAAACAAUCAAUUACACAAUCAAUACUUCCUGAGACUUGGGCUUUAAGAGUUAUUAUCAAGAUAUUCUAUAUGUUAACAAUUUAACUUCACUGGUAAACAAUGUGUCAUUUCAAAUUAAAUAAUCAAAAAUUGAAAUGAAUUAAAUAUAUGCCUGUAUGUUGAGUAAAGUACUGUUUUCAGGUGGAUUUAGUUUCUUCAUUAAAAUGAGAGAGCCUAAGUGGUUAGAGAUAUUACUGAAUUAAUAAAUGAUGAAUAAAUGUAAAAAUAAAUGAUAAGGGUCAAUUUCUAUUAUUUUGAAUUAAUCUCUCAUAAAUUUUAUGGGAAAGAUAAAUGAUUCACCUAGAUAGAUUUUAAAAUGGUUAUGACAAUAAUGAAUUACUUAGAUUAAAACAUUCAUUAUACAUAAGCACAUGUUGCUUUUAAUACAAGUACGUGAACUUGAAUAUCUAAAGCUUAAACAAAUUUGAAUGUGCAAGCACAAGAUUAAAUGUGGCACAUAAUGAGUUUAAACAGCUAACUAGGUUUUCUUGGUCCAUUUUACAUCUAACAAUUAUGGAAUAGCAGUAAUGCCAAUUAGAUAAACCACAUUACUUAAUAAGAAAACUAUUGUUCUUCAGAAAAGAAAUGCAUGGACUUGGAGAACAGAUUGUGGUUGCCAAUGGGGAGAGGGAGGGAGUGGGAUGAACCGGGAGUUCGGGGUUAAUAGAUGAAAACUAUUGCAUUUGGAGUGGAUAAGCAAUGAGAUCCUGCUGUAUAGCACAGGGAACUAUAUCUAGUCACUUGUGAUGGAACAUGGUGGAGGAUAACAUGAGAAAAAGAAUGUGUAUAAAUGUGUGACUGGGUCACUUUUCUAUACAGUAGAAAAUUGACAGAACACACAAUUGAGGCCAAGUUUCAUGUUUUCACAGCAAUUAGCUUUGCAAAGCAAAUCUUUGCCUAAAAGUCAUAGGAUAUAUUCCAGACCCUGGUAUAGCUGUUUUGAAAAUGUGAAUUUGGGGUCAUAAAUAGAACUAGUUCAGCACUUCAGAAAAACUACAAAAUGGAAUGACCCAACAUAAUAGCAUUAUUAUACCUACUUUCACAGAGGGGAAUAUUUUAUCCUUUUAAAGUAGCAAAAUGCCCACCAUUACCUGAUUGUAUUACAUCAAAAAAUGAGUUUUGAUUAGAAGCAUCACAACAGAGUAUUCUCACUAAAAUAAUGCCUCAUCCCCCGAAAACAUGAUGACAUCCCUGAAAUCACAAUGAAGGGUCAAGGGGGUGACUUCCAAUUUAAGAGGGCCUUGCAGUGAGAAAAGAGCACAAAGCAAGAGCUCUAAUAGGACUAUACUGGACAUUCAGUUUCACUAAGCAAAGUCAGCAGGAGCUUUUUCUUGGGUUUAGCAAUGAGUGCAAGGUUUGAGAAUACACUAGCUAGCUGAAUUUCACUCAUCUAAAAAGAAAAUUGAAACAAACUCUUUGUUAAUAAAAGUUAAAAUCUCAUUCAGCUUAAGUCUACCCUUCCCAAGUAUUACUUUAAUCUUUCCUUAAAAUUUCCUAUAAUUGAUUAGUUCCUAUGAAGAAAAGAUUUAUUUAUUCCCAUUAUCUAAAUUAUGAAAGUAAAUGAACAUUUCUUUCCAUAUUUUCUGUAGCCACACAGACUACUGUUACCAUAUCCUAGGACACCACAGCCUGAGAUGCUAAGAAGGUUACUGGGUGCUGAAACUCAGGAUUCAGAAGUCAGUUCCAAGGAGGUGACUAGGGCUGACUGUGUGGAGACAGCAUGGGGGCUAGGGAGCAGUGCAACCUCAUGGUUCCUGGUCGGAUUCACUAACCACUGCGCCACAACGGGAACUCCUGCAAUACCUUUUAAAAUCAUAACCCAGAAACUUACAUACCUAGAAAUAAAUCUGACAAAGGAGGAUAAAGGAUAUGCAGAGUUCUCAUCGUGGUUCAGUGGUUAACAAAUCUGACUAGGUUGCAGCUUCAAUCCCUGGCCUCGCUCAGUGGGUUAAGGAUCUGGCAUUGCCAUGAGCUGUGGUGUAGGUCACAGACAUGGCUCAGAUCCAGUGUAGCUGUUGCUGGGGUGUAGGCCAGCAGCUACAGCUCCAAUUUGACCCCUAGCCUGGGAACCUCCAUAUGCCAUGGGUGCAGCCCUAGAAAAGACAAAAAAAAAACAGGACUUAUAUGCUAAAAACUGUAAAACAUUGAAACAUUGUCAAGGAAAUUAAAGAGGAUUCAAAGAACUUCCAUGCUCCUGGAUUGGAAGAAUUAAUAUUGUUACAAUGGCCAUACUACCCAAAGCAAUCUACAGAUUCAAUGCAAUCCCUAUCAAAUAACCCAUGACAUUUUUCACAGAACUAGAACAAACAACCCAAAAAUUUAUAUGGAAC
rnacentral:lncRNA from 1 species